AGUGAACGCUGGCGGUAGGCCUAACACAUGCAAGUCGAACGGCAGCACAGGAGAGCUUGCUCUCUGGGUGGCGAGUGGCGGACGGGUGAGGAAUACAUCGGAAUCUACUUUUUCGUGGGGGAUAACGUAGGGAAACUUACGCUAAUACCGCAUACGACCUACGGGUGAAAGCAGGGGAUCUUCGGACCUUGCGCGAUUGAAUGAGCCGAUGUCGGAUUAGAUAGUUGGCGGGGUAAAGGCCCACCAAGGCGACGAUCCGUAGCUGGUCUGAGAGGAUGAUCAGCCACACUGGAACUGAGACACGGUCCAGACUCCUACGGGAGGCAGCAGUGGGGAAUAUUGGACAAGGGGCGCAAGCCUGAUCCAGCCAUACCGCGUGGGUGAAGAAGGCCUUCGGGUUGUAAAGCCCUUUUGUUGGGAAAGAAAUCCAGCUGGUUAAUACCCGGUUGGGAUGACGGUACCCAAAGAAUAAGCACCGGCUAACUUCGUGCCAGCAGCCGCCGUAA
rnacentral:rRNA from 1 species